rnacentral:rRNA from 1 species
UACAGAGACUGCAAGCGUUAUUCGGAUUCACUGGGCGUAAAGGGUGCGCAGGCGGCCGAGUGUGUGAGGCGUGAAAGCCCGAUGCUUAACAUCGGAAUUGCACCUCAAACUACACGGCUAGAGCAUUGGAGAGGGUAGCAGAAUUCAUGGUGUAGCAGUGAAAUGCGUAGAUAUCAUGAGGAAUACCAGAGGCGAAGGCGGCUACCUGGACCGGCAUUGACGCUGAGGAGCGAAAGCCAGGGGAGCAAACGGG